CAGUCGCCGCGGUAAUACGUAGGGUGCAAGCGUUAAUCGGAAUUACUGGGCGUAAAGCGUGCGCAGGCGGUUAUAUAAGACAGAUGUGAAAUCCCCGGGCUCAACCUGGGAACUGCAUUUGUGACUGUAUAGCUAGAGUACGGCAGAGGGGGAUGGAAUUCCGCGUGUAGCAGUGAAAUGCGUAGAUAUGCGGAGGAACACCGAUGGCGAAGGCAAUCCCCUGGGCCUGUACUGACGCUCAUGCACGAAAGCGUGGGGAGCAAACAGGAUUAGAUACCCCAGUAGUUCCUGUCUCUUAUAA
rnacentral:rRNA from 1 species